GGGUUGUGAGGUUAAGCGACUAAGCGUACACGGUGGAUGCCCUGGCAGUCAGAGGCGAUGAAGGGCGUGCUAAUCUGCGAUAAGCGCCGGUAAGGUGAUAUGAACCGUUAUAACCGGCGAUACCCGAAUGGGGAAACCCAGUGUGAUUCGUCACACUAUCAUUACGUGAAUACAUAGCGUAAUGAAGCGAACCGGGGGAACUGAAACAUCUAAGUACCCCGAGGAAAAGAAAUCAACCGAGAUUCCCCCAGUAGCGGCGAGCGAACGGGGAGGAGCCCAGAGCCUGAAUCAGCAUGUGUGUUAGUGGAAGCGUCUGGAAAGGCGCGCGAUACAGGGUGACAGCCCCGUACACAAAAGCGCAUGUGUUGUGAGCUCGAUGAGUAGGGCGGGACACGUGGUAUCCUGUCUGAAUAUGGGGGGACCAUCCUCCAAGGCUAAAUACUCCUGACUGACCGAUAGUGAACCAGUACCGUGAGGGAAAGGCGAAAAGAACCCCGGCGAGGGGAGUGAAAAAGAACCUGAAACCGUGUACGUACAAGCAGUGGGAGCACCCUUU
rnacentral:rRNA from 1 species